GCCUAUGGCUAUACCCAGUUAAAAGCACCGGAACUGUCCUGAUCUCUGAAGUUAAUCAACUCUAGGUCUGGUUAGUAUUUGGAUGGAUGAACACCUUGGAACCCCUGGUUCUGUAGGCU
rnacentral:rRNA from 1 species